rnacentral:rRNA from 1 species
UACGAAGGGGGGCUAGCGUUGCUCGGAAUCACUGGGCGUAAAGGGCGCGUAGGCGGCCAUUCAAGUCGGGGGGUGAAAGCCUGUGGCUCAACCACAGAAUUGCCUUCGAUACUGUUUGGCUUGAGUUUGGUAGAGGUUGGUGGAACUGCGAGUGUAGAGGUGAAAUUCGUAGAUAUUCGCAAGAACACCAGUGGCGAAGGCGGCCAACUGGACCAACACUGACGCUGAGGCGCGAAAGCGUGGGGAGCAAACAGG